ACCGCUGAUGAACUGCUGUGUGUGUUUACCUUUAGCUAGCGGGACGCUACGGAGCCCAGCUAUCCGCCCUCUGAAGCUUUUAGAGCCGACAGGGGGAGGACAAUGUCCCGCUAACGCUGUGUGUGUGUGUUUCACAUUAGCGGGACGCUACGGAGUUCCGGUAUCCGCCCUCUGAAGCUUUUAGGGCCGACAGGGGGAGGAGAAUACAACGCUGUGUGUAUUUAUCGCUAAGCUAACGGCUAAGCUAGCUGGACGCUACGUUUCAGGUAUCCGUCCUCUGAGGCAUUUAUUGCGGACAGGUUGAGGAGGAUGUCCCGCUCCUGUGUGUGUGUAACGGAGCUCAGAUGAGAGGGCUCUGAUUACAGUUUUAAUCCUCCGUCAAACUGCAUGUUUUCUGCUAUAUUUGAUGAGAGAUAAAAUGAUUUUCUGCCACAGGAGUUUGACAGAGAAUAACUGAAAAAGUACACAGUAAAAUAACCCAUGGCCACUGUCGAUGCAAGAAGAAGGUCGGCCGGUGGUCACAGGGGCAUCAUCAGGCAGCUGGCCCCCACCUACAGCUGCCAGUUCCCAGCUGUACUUAUGUACAAGCUGUCCUGUGACGGGAGCAGCACUCAGAGCCUGGAUGGAGAGCGAUCUAGUACCUCGGUGUGUGCGAGCAGUUCCUGGCCUUGUGCAGCGUGAUGAUGGGGCAGAUUCGGUGUCAAAAUUUCAUUUUUUUUCUUACAGCCGCCGUGUGUUUAUGCACUCACAUUUUCAAUCUCUCUCUCUCUCUCUCCAGCCGUCAGCUGGUUAAGGUCCUCAUCAGCGUCCUCACCUUCUCAGAGGGCCUGUCCAGUAUGGCGGCCGGACUGAUGAGGCAGUACCGACUCGCCGAGGUACCACCCCCCAGCUGAUCUACAUGGAUCGGGACUGCUGCAACAGAGACGGCGUGUCAAAGACAGCUGCCUUGUUUCAGGAGUGGGUGGACCCCGGAGAUGCCCGCCGUCUCAUUGAAGCCAAGCGGUCCCAGUCGUUCCUUCGCGGUCCAAGACAGCGAAGGGGAUGAACACCUUCUGUCCUGGGAAGGAGAGUCUCCAACGGUUCUCUCGGCGCCAGAAAGAGAGGGGGGUGUCUGUGCUGCUGCAGGGAACUGGCGUCGUCCCUGCAGUAGCUGUGGCUGUCCAGCCUCUCCCGCCAGCGAAAGGGCUGUCCUUUGUACAGGUGGGACAAGGACAGCCCUUCCAUUACAACAUCCCGGAGGUGCCGGGACCUUCAGGGGGG